GCCGGGCUUGGUGGUGCACACCUGAAAUCCCAGCAGCUCAGGAGGCUGAGGCAGGAGGAUUGCGAGUUCAAAGCCAGCCUCAGCAAAGGCAGGGUGCUAAGUAACUCAGUGAGACCCUGUCUCUA
rnacentral:sRNA from 1 species